rnacentral:rRNA from 1 species
GACGAACGCUGGCGGCGUGCUUAACACAUGCAAGUCGAACGGGAUAAGUUGAGAGCUUGCUCUUAGAGAAUCUAGUGGCAAACGGGUGAGUAACACGUAGACAACCUGCCGACAGGAUGUGGACAACAUUCCGAAAGGAAUGCUAAUACCGAAUGAAGCGGAUGAGAGGCAUCUCUCCUCCGUGAAAGAUGGCCUCUGAAUAUGCUAUCACCUGUCGAUGGGUCUGCGUCUGAUUAGCUAGUUGGUGAGGUAACGGCUCACCAAGGCGACGAUCAGUAGCCGCUCCGAGAGCAUGCACGGCCACAUUGGGACUGAGCCAGGGCCCAGACUCCCCAGGGAGGCAGCAGUGGGGAAUCUUCCGCAAUGGGCGCAAGCCUGACGGAGCAACGCCGCGUGGGUGAAGAAGGUCUUCGGAUCGUCAAGCUCUGUUGACGGGGACGAACGUGCGAAGGGUGAAUACUCCUUUGUAAUGACGGUCCCUGUCCAGGAAGCCACGGCUAACUACGUG